GAGGAGAAGGACUUUCUAUAUAUACAUAUAUAUUUUCUUCAUGGUCGAUCCAAGCUACUAUGGUUUAUUCAUACAUAAUCGGCGCCUCGUUAUUCUCUCAAGUAUUUUCGUAACAGUAUCAGCAGAGAGGCAGAGCCAGAUCAAGAAUAUUAUUAUUACCGACAGACUGAGCCAUCUCCCUGCUGAUAUUUUGCAGGGUAUUCCUCGCCGCUCAUAAGAAUUGGUUCAGUAGGGUAUUCCUCGCCGCUCGACAGUAGGGUAUUCCCUUCGCCAGGGUAUUUAGCCGAUCAAAGGGUAAGAUACCAUCUUUGUUGUUUUAUACAGCGAUGGGUGUUGAACUAGUUCGUAGCGAUAUAGUCGAAGAUUUUAGCGUCACCAACUCCGAUUUGGUUGACCAGUUCAGGCUUGCCCUCAGGUCCAAGUCUGCCUC
rnacentral:lncRNA from 1 species